rnacentral:rRNA from 1 species
AUACGGAGGGUCCAAGCGUUAUCCGGAAUCAUUGGGUUUAAAGGGUCCGCAGGCGGUCAAUUAAGUCAGAGGUGAAAGCCCAUCGCUCAACGAUGGAAUUGCCUUUGAUACUGGUUGACUUGAGUUAUACGGAAGUAGAUAGAAUAAGUAGUGUAGCGGUGAAAUGCAUAGAUAUUACUUAGAAUACCGAUUGCGAAGGCAGUCUACUACGUAUAUACUGACGCUGAGGGACGAAAGCGUGGGGAGCGAACAGGAUUAGAAACCCUAGUAGUCC